rnacentral:rRNA from 1 species
AGCGAACGCUGGCGGCAGGCUUAACACAUGCAAGUCGAGCGGGCAUAGCAAUAUGUCAGCGGCAGACGGGUGAGUAACGCGUGGGAACGUACCUUUUGGUUCGGAACAACACAGGGAAACUUGUGCUAAUACCGGAUAAGCCCUUACGGGGAAAGAUUUAUCGCCGAAAAAUCGGCCCGCGUCUGAUUAGCUAGGUGGUGAGGUAAUGGCUCACCAAGGCGACGAUCCGUAGCUGGUCUGAGAGGAUGAUAAGCCACAUUGGGACUGAGACACGAGCCAAACCCCUACGGGAGGAAUCAGUGGAGAAUAUUGGACAAUGGGGCAAAGCCGAAUCUGGCCAUGCCGCGUGAGUGAUGAAGGCCCUAGGGUUGUAAAGCGCUUUUGUGGGGGAAGAAAACGACGGUACGGCAAGAAUAAGCCCCGGCUAACGUCGUGCCAGCCGCCGCGGUAA